UACGGAGGGUGCAAGCGUUAUCCGGAUUCACUGGGUUUAAAGGGUGCGUAGGCGGGCAGGUAAGUCAGUGGUGAAAUCCCCGAGCUUAACUUGGGAACUGCCGUUGAUACUAUCUGUCUUGAAUACUAUGGAGGUAAGCGGAAUAUGUCAUGUAGCGGUGAAAUGCUUAGAUAUGACAUAGAACACCAAUUGCGAAGGCAGCUCACUAAGCUUUAAACUGACACUGAGGCACGAAAAGUGUGGGGAUCAAACAGG
rnacentral:rRNA from 1 species